rnacentral:rRNA from 1 species
UAGGGAAUAUUGCGCAAUGGCCUAACGGCUGACGCAGCAACGCCGCGUGGGUGAUGAAGUUCUUCGGAAUGUAAAACCCUGUUAGUGGGGACGAAUGACCUAUGGUCUUGACGGUACCCACAGAGAAAGUCCCGGCCAACUCCGUGCCAGCAGCCGCGGUAAUACGGGGGGGACGAGCGUUGUUCGGAUUCACUGGGCGUAAAGCGCACGUAGGCGGGUUUGCAAGUCGAAUGUGAAAACCGACGGCUUAACCAUCGGCCCGCAUUUGAUACUGCAAGUCUAGGGUACUGGAGAGGAUGGCAGAAUUCCUGGUGUAGCGGUGAAAUGCGUAGAUAUCAGGAGGAAUACCGGUGGCGAAGGCGGCCAUCUGGACAGAUACUGACGCUGAGGUGCGAAGGCUAGGGGAGCAAACAGGAUUAGAUACCCUGGUAGUCCUAGCGGUAAACGAUGGACACUAGGUGUUGGUGGUAUCGACCCCACCAGUGCCGCAGUUAACACAUUAAGUGUCCCGCCUGGGGAGUACGGCCGCAAGGUUA